rnacentral:rRNA from 1 species
AGAGUUUGAUCCUGGCUCAGAUUGAACGCUGGCGGCAUGCCUUACACAUGCAAGUCGAACGGGGACCGGCUUCUUCGGAGGCCGAAUUCCAGUGGCGAACGGGUGAGUAACACGUGGGUAACCUGCCCUCGAGUGGGGAAUAACACUCCUAACGGGGUGCUAAUACCGCAUAACACAGGCGGUCACAUGUCCGCCUGUCAAAGGUGGCCUCUCCUUGGAAGCUGCUACUCGGGGAUGGACCCGCGUCCUAUUAGCUUGUUGGUAGGGUAACGGCCUACCAAGGCGACGAUGGGUAGCCGGCCUGAGAGGGUGUCCGGCCACACUGGGACUGAGAUACGGCCCAGACUCCUACGGGAGGCAGCAGUAGGGAAUAUUGCGCAAUGGGCGAAAGCCUGACGCAGCGACGCCGCGUGAGCGAUGAAGGCCUUCGGGUCGUAAAGCUCGAUCCAGAUGGGAAGAACAGCGGGAGGGUGAAUAACCCUUCCGGUUGACGGUACCAUCAGGGAAGCUCCGGCUAAUUCCGUGCCAGCAGCCGCGGUAA